AUCUCUUAGGAAGGUUUUCUUUUGUUCCCUGUCUCCCUUCCACUUCCCCACCACCUAUCCCUAGGGAGGACCCACCACCUGUGUAGUGGUUUUGACUCGCCCACAGCGCCCCCAUAGGGCAACUCUCAGACUGUCAUACACCGCCUUACUGUACUGAUUCCUUCACACCUAUUCACCUGCUUGGGAACAGCAGCGAUGAUUCCGUGUCCGUAUCCCUGCACACAGCAAAAUAAUAACAACGCACUUAAUGGAUGAAUGGGUUUGGAUUCCAAGUCAACUUACUAGCACCACUUUCUUGGGCAAGUUCUUUCCUCGUGAAGACCCAGGUUUCCUUCUCUGUGAGAUGGGGAGACUAACAACCACCUCCCUGGUCGUUGUGAGGAAUCAAGGGGGUAACACUUGUGACGGGCACGGCAGCACAGUGGAGGCACGCAGUAGGUCCAUAGGUCAGAUUCAGUGACUCUCUCCCAGACCCGCCGACAGAUGGAAGGAGCCUAGCCUCUGUGCGGCAGGGGCGCCGGGAGGGUUUGCUGCCCCCACGGGACCGCUCCGCAUUCCUGGCUGUCCCUUAAACCCAUUCCCUCAGGGACCUGUCCUGUAACCUGAGGCUCAGAUGCUGCUUACAAGGCAGAUCUCAGGGAGGGAGGAGAAGGGAAGAGCUUCGGGCUGGUAAUCGGUCACUGAAACCUCAGUGUGAACUAGUCCCCCAUCAUCCUUCCAAUGGAGGAGUGAGGUAGACAGGACAGUGAGGCAGGGGUGGGGAUGGAAUACGGAGAGGGUGAGGAGGGCGUUGGGAAUGUUGGGGCGCAGAAGAAUCCGGAGCGGCUGCCUGGUACACGGGGAAACAUUGCCGAAGUCAGAGAGAUAUCAGGGUUCAAGUCUGGGCUUUUCCAGCUGCUGGAAGUGUGGCUGGAGGCAAGCUCCAGGAAGGAAAGGGUGAAACAUUCCACGGUCCCCUAGAACGCUGGGAGAAAACACCGCCUCCCGGUCUGGACCGCCCCAGGGGGAAGGCCAGUGCCGUGGACCCCGAUCCCAGCACCCCGCUGACCUGUUCUCGCUUUGCAGUGAGAAGGAGCUCUAAAGACCACUCUGCCGCAGGCCCCGACCGACAGGUCCCAGUCGGCCCGCGCCUGCUGCUGAGAUCCGCAGCCUGCGCCCCUCUCCCGGGCACUCCACGCCCCAGGCACUGCCCUGUGUGCCCCGUCUAGGGUGGCCCCCAGGCCCGGUAAACUAGACAGGCUCGCAGUCCCCACCUCUGAGAGCCACAUGUUGGGGAAAAAGGGAACAGUAACAAAGCGAAGUCGCCGUCCCCGCCUGCCCCUGGGUACAGACACUCCGCGGAGCUCACGUUGUUCCCUGGGCCCUGGAGCGGGCAGCGGGGGAGGGGGUGGCUGGAGUGUCGGGGUACUGCACCGCGAUGGAUGGAACUGGAAGGGAGCCUCUCACACUACGACUGCGGGUCCUUCUGGCGAGGCCGGGCCCCAGAGCAGAGUGGGGCCUCAUCCAAAUUCAACCUGGCACUCUGGAAGCCUUUGACAUUUCCUCUGCGGGAAGAGGCUCCACCAUAGGUCACAUUGCUCUAGGAAUGGGGGGAAAAAAAUCGUGAUCUGAACUGCGGUGGAGUGUUUACCCAAAAUCUUAUUAAGGUUUAUUUUUAGAGCCUAUGUCGGCUGGCCUUAUCACCAGAGACAAAUUCUAGAGGGGUCUCUCUGUUCUCCUGACCUUUAAGAAAAGACUUCAAAGAUGAGAGACAAGCAGGGAGAGGCAGGCUCUGUCCUGGGCCGGGUCCACCACGCAGCCGGUAAUGCCUGGCCGGUGGGAAUCCUUUCCAAAGGGUGAAAGGCAUGGUCCAGCCCUUCUUCCAAGCCUAGACACCACAAAAGACAAGUCUCCCUACCCACUCCCAUCCCAUUCCGGCACUGUCCUGCCUCCAGCCGACCUUGGGAAAAGGCCAGACUGACCUUGGGGGUCGUCUCACAAUAACAAUUACUAGGUGCCAUUACUGUCCACAGGCUUCCCCUACAGUAGCUCUUUUAAUUCUCGCCUUAGUUCGGUCAUUAUCCCCAUUUUACAGAUUGAAAAAGGAAGGCACAGGUGUUGAAGCAAUUCCCCGGAGGUCACAGAGCUUUCGGAUUGUUCUCUUCAGCACAACAGAGUUCUGGCCUGGAGGCACCCUGCCCCAGCCCUCAGGGGCCAGAGAGCAGUCUGGAAGAUGGCCACACCCUGGCAGAUCUGGCCACAGGCCCCGAGGCAGGGCCUCAGGCGGCUGGACCACACAUGCAGGGAGAGGCGUUCUUUUUGUGAGGAGACACAGACCCACUGAAGGAUUGCAUGAGCCCAAAGAAAUUUCAGAGACCUAAUGACUUGAGAGGGUCACUGAAGCAAAGAAAAGUUGCCAAAGAUCGGAGAAAGACGGAAGCAUGUGAUUCCUGAAUUAAGAAGUUCUUCACGCCCCUAUUCCAGACCUCCUGCCUGCCUGGGCUCCCAUGCAAGCCCUCGUGCUCAAUGACUCCCUACAUGCCUUCGGCGAAGAGUGGCAUAGACCCAUUUCCACAAGUCAUGGCAUAGACCCAUUUCCCCCACACUGGCAACUGGCACCAGGGAACCUCAUCAUCUUAGCACCUUUUGCCUGGAUUUCUGCAAGGUCUAGGUCUCGUAUGGAAGUCAUGAGACAAGACCAUUGUACUCCUAGCGCUUAAGGUAGAGACAGACACGCAGCGGGUGCUCACGGCUUCUCAACUGCCUCCCUAUUGCCAAUGGCCAACCAGCGACGGCCCGACAGCAAAGAUUUUACCACCGUUGGCCAAGUAUGAAUUGUGAACCAGCAUGGUUCUGCGUGCUUUGUGUGCGCUGUGUCGUUCGGUGUUGUCACGACCGUCCGGGACAGGUCCUCUCCUUAACCGCGGGUUACGGAUGAAGAGCCUGAGGCACAGAAAGGUUAAACGCUUUGCUUAAGGCCGCACAGCUACUAAGCGAUGGGGCCAGCAUUUGAACCUGGGUAAAGUCCAAGCAUCUAGCUGUGAGACACAAGGUCCUUUGGCACGGCACUCAGCCCUCUCCAGCUCCAGCUCCUGAGGUGCCCUACCUUGGGUCCCGCUAACAGCCUGUGUGCCCCGUCUCCCUGUCUCUGUCUCUGUCUCUCUGCCGAGGCUGUUGUUUCUACCUCACCGUCCCCCCGACCCCCUCCAUCUCGCCACACCACACCCUUCUCCUGGCUAAUACCUACUUCUCUUUCCAGAUUAAUUUUACCGGCCACCUCUCCUUGGCAGGCUCCCCUUGUCUGCACUCCCCAAGUCCCCAAGGCUGAGCUGGGCGUCCCUCUUUUAUGCCUCCAUAGCAACAUGUGAACACGCGUAGGGCCCCAUCACUGCACAAUGGCGCUUGCUGUUCCGGUGGUUUGUUUUCUCCCACACGUGACUGUCGUUCCCUCGGGACAACAAGGAUGUCUUCUCCAUCAUGGUAUCACCAGCACCUGCACCUGCACCAGCACCUGCAGACUUGGCAGGAGCACCUGCCGAGUCUAUGACUUCCCCUCCUCCUCCUCCCCCCAACCCUUUGAAAACACGAGAGCCAUCCUUAGCUCGAGGGUCACACACAAGCAGGCCGUGUGCCGCGUUGUACCUGCAGUUCACGGUUUGCCGGCUCCACUGUCGUUGGGCAACGCGCUUCCAAACACAAAGGUUACUAGUCAGACUGAUUCGGUGAUUUUUCACGUGAGAGCCAUACUGGCAUUUCAGACCAGGGGGCAGGGGGUGGGUGGAUGUUUUUGGUGGUCACAGGGACUGGGGGUAGCACGUUAGCAUCGAUCGGGGCCCAGAAGCUGGGAUGCUGGGCAUCUGGAGGUGCUCAAGGCGGUCCCACUGGGCCAUCCCCUGAGGAGCACGGGCCAGCCGUUGGACGCUUCUCUCUCACUGCUCUCCGGUAGCAGUGAAACCGCCUCGGGGAUUCACUGACGGAAAAGACAUUAGAGAAGCAAAUCCAUCUCAGAGCCAAUUAUUUAGGCAGUAGAGACAGGAGAAAUGAGAAUGUAAGCCUCGAGGCAAGGACUCUCUCAGGUUCUUCGUGGGAUUCCUGGCACAGUGCACAACACACACAGGCCUCCGUGUCUGUGAAUGUUUCACCCGAGGAGCCUGAAUGGAAGCAGGGAUCACUUAAAAUGGGUCAGAAUCUGGCCUGAGCAGGCCAGAUCCAUCUGGAAGCCUGUCCCCGGCUGAGUGUGCGGGGGCAUAAGGCUGUGUGCUGGCAGGCUUCACUGAAAAGGUACCACCAAGUCACAGGCACCAUGCAGUGGGGAGGCUUGGUUAGCGGUCAAGCCAGUAAGCCCAGGACAGGCCGCAGAGCUGCCCACACGACUCCCUCUCUCUCUCCCUUCGUCUCCAUUAGAUAGCCUGAGUUUAUGCCCACAUUGCUAUUUAAAUAACCGGUAAAAAUCUCACAUUCUCUCAUCAUGAAAGCUAAUCAAAUAUCAGCCUAAAACCAUUACUCAGAUGCUUGUGGGCGCCUUAGGGAAAUGUACCAGUAAGUACAAAAGGGUUCAAUCUGCCUUCUAAAUAGCUUUGACCCCAGUCUCCUACAGCAUAGAGACCUUAGUUAGAAGUGGACACAGACAGGGGCGCCUGGGUGGCUCAGUCGGUUAAGCGUCCGACUUCAGCUCAGGUCAUGAUCUCGCGGUCCGUGAGUUUGAGCCCCGCGUCGGGCUCUGUGCUGACCGCUCAGAGCCUGGAGCCUGUUUCGGAUUCUGUGUCUCCCUCUCUCUCCGACCCUCCCCCAUUCAUGCUCUGUCUCUCUCUGUCUCAAAAAUAAAUAAACGUUAAAAAAAAAAAAA